rnacentral:rRNA from 1 species
AUGGGAAUGGAGAUGUUAGAUGUGGAUGAGGCAGUGUGUGCUAAAUAUUUCACCAUGAUGUUGGAAGGAACAGCUCAUACUUGGUUGAAGAGCCUACCAACCAACUCUGUCGGAUCAUGGACUGAAUUGAAGCACCGGUUUAUCCAGAACUUCAAAGAUACUUGUAAGCAGCCAAUGUCAAUCAUGGAUCUGGCCGCUUGUGUCCAAGAGGAAGGGGAGUCCACGACCCAUUGGGUCAAACGGGUCUCAACGAUUUUGCACUCAUCAAAUCGUAUCAAUGCAGACACCGUAGUGUUUACAUUAGAGGGCAAUUGA